UGGGGAAUUUUGGACAAUGGGCGCAAGCCUGAUCCAGCCAUGCCGCGUGCGGGAAGAAGGCCUUCGGGUUGUAAACCGCUUUUGUCAGGGAAGAAAUCUUCUGAGUUAGUACCUCGGGAGGAUGACGGUACCUGAAGAAUAAGCACCGGCUAACUACGUGCCAGCAGCCGCGGUAAUACGUAGGGUGCAAGCGUUAAUCGGAAUUACUGGGCGUAAAGCGUGCGCAGGCGGUUUUGUAAGACAGAGGUGAAAUCCCCGGGCUCAACCUGGGAACUGCCUUUGUGACUGCAAGGCUUGAGUGCGGCAGAGGGGGGAUGGAAUUCCGCGUGUAGCAGUGAAAUGCGUAGAUAUGCGGAGGAACACCGAUGGCGAAGGCAAUCCCCUGGGCCUGCACUGACGUUCAUGCACGAAAGCGUGGGGAGCAAAACAGGAUUAGAUAGCCCUGGUAGUCCACGCCCUAAAACGAUGUCAACUGGUUGUUGGGAAAGGUUUCCUUCUCAGUAACGUAGCUAACGCGUGAA
rnacentral:rRNA from 1 species